CUGCAACAUCACCAACGACACCAGACGACUACGUUCCAUUCAUUCCACCGGAAUCACCGUCCCCAUCCAAACUCAAAGAAAAUGGACAGCUUUGAUCCCUACCAGGUGUUUCAGGUGAACCACUUGCC